UGUAAAAUUUCUGUCCUCGUUUUUUUGUUAAUGUUUAAUAACAUUUUUUUUUCUUUCGUUGCAGGAUAUGUUCGCAAAGUCCAUAUCGAUCCUUCUACGCAAUUGACGUGUCGUCAUAAAUCACGCGCUGAUAUUUUGUUUAGCUCAUACUUCAUGUAAGUCCCUAAAGAAAAUUCUGGUGAAACCUCAACUGAAUUUUACUAAUCUCGAGCGUGCCCAAAAAAAAAUAUGAUUACCGGCCGGAAUUGAGAACCUGGUUUGGAGCUAGCGUGAAAGUGUCUUUCUUUAUUUUUUUUCAUU
rnacentral:lncRNA from 7 species